rnacentral:snRNA from 1 species
GGAUGUGAGGGUGAUCUGGCUGCGACAUGUCACCCCACUGAUCACCAGGGUUGAUUCGGCUGAUCUGGCUGGCUAGGCGAGUGUCCCCUUCCUCCCUCACCGCUCCAUGUGCGCCCCUCCCAAAGCUGCGUGCUCAGUCGAAGAGGACGACCAUCCCCGAUAGAGGAGGACUGGUCUUCGGUCAAGGGUAUAUGAGUAGCUACGCUCCUCUGCUAGAACCUCCAAACAAGCUCCCAAGAUAUAUGUGGGCCAAACAAAAACACAUCUCUGGGCCAAAUUCUGCCCACAGGCUGCCAGUUUGGGAACCUCU